rnacentral:rRNA from 1 species
GAUGAACGCUGGCGGCGUGCCUAAUACAUGCCAGUCGAGCGAACGGACGAGAAGCUUGCUUCUCUGAUGUUAGCGGCGGACGGGUGAGUAACACGUGGAUAACCUACCUAUAAGACUGGGAUAACUUCGGGAAACCGGAGCUAAUACCGGAUAAUAUUUUGAACCGCAUGGUUCAAAAGUGAAAGACGGUCUUGCUGUCACUUAUAGAUGGAUCCGCGCUGCAUUAGCUAGUUGGUAAGGUAACGGCUUACCAAGGCAACGAUGCAUAGCCGACCUGAGAGGGUGAUCGGCCACACAGGAACUGAGACACGGUCCAGACUCCUACGGGAGGCAGCAGUAGGGAAUCUUCCGCAAUGGGCGAAAGCCUGACGGAGCAACGCCGCGUGAGUGAUGAAGGUCUUCGGAUCGUAAAACUCUGUUAUUAGGGAAGAACAUAUGUGUAAGUAACUGUGCACAUCUUGACGGUACCUAAUCAGAAAGCCACGGCUAACUACGUG